rnacentral:rRNA from 1 species
UACGAAGGGAGCUAGCGUUGCUCGGAAUCACUGGGCGUAAAGCGCACGUAGGCGGCUUUCUAAGUCAGGGGUGAAAUCCUGGAGCUCAACUCCAGAACUGCCUUUGAUACUGGAGAGCUUGAGUCCGGGAGAGGUGAGUGGAACUCCGAGUGUAGAGGUGAAAUUCGUAGAUAUUCGGAAGAACACCAGUGGCGAAGGCGGCUCACUGGCCCGGUACUGACGCUGAGGUGCGAAAGCGUGGGGAGCAAACAGG